UUGAAUCCAGAUCCCUUCUACACCCGUAGAAGAGGCUUGAUUUGAUGUUGUGUGUUUGCCUUAUUUUUCAACUCCAACAAAUGCAAUAGUUUCUCCUGGAAUUGGAGUGGGCCUUAGCUGCCGUGGAAGGUGAACAGGAAGAUUGAUGUGGGUCCUCACCCACCCUUUAUGAGCAAACCGUAGAAGAGAGCUGCAAAGAAGUGGACAGAGCAGAGGAUACAAGGAUGGAAGACUACAUGUCAGCAACUCAACUCAAGAUUUGACAUCAAAACUAGAAUGAUGGGGUCCUACCUCACCGCCAACAUUGAGCCGUACCCCACAGGAAGACAGAAGGCUACCAAAAUAUGGGAAUCUGCCUCAGCUCACCCAUCCAGAAGGCCUUGUGAUGCUGGGGCCAGACAUCCUGCAGAAACAUCUCCAAAUGAAAAGCCUGGAGAUAUAAUCUCUGCUGGACCGGAU